rnacentral:rRNA from 1 species
UGCGUAGGGUGCAAGCGUUGUCCGGAAUUAUUGGGCGUAAAGAGCUCGUAGGCGGCUCGUCGCGUCGGCUGUGAAAACCUGGGGCUCAACCCCGGGCCUGCAGCCGAUACGGGCGAGCUAGAAUUCGGUAGGGGAGACUGGAAUUCCCGGUGUAGCGGUGAAAUGCGCAGAUAUCGGGAGGAACACCGGUGGCGAAGGCGGUUCUCUGGGCCUUACCUGACGCUGAGGAGCGAAAGCGUGGGGAGCGAACAGG